ensembl:lncRNA EDRF1-AS1 EDRF1 antisense RNA 1
UACUCUAAGCAGUUCGCAGGGAGCAUCUUUCAGCAGCUGAAACAGCUUUGCGGCCUUGCUGUAAUGAAGAUCUGCCAGCACCCGGUGUUGUUUCCUAAGGUGUUCAUCACCAACCUAGAACCAAACCAAAACAAGCAACAAAUCCUUCACGUUUCUAGAAUUAGCAUUUAAGUACUAACCUGACUGGAAGCACUGGGAUCUUCAGAAACUGAAGAAGGCAUUUCGAAGGGAGCAGGCCAUGAAGCCCCUUCCGAAUCAUUUGUCUGAUCUGAACUGGACGAUUCCUGCUGUUCUGCGGUGGAUGAGACAGGCUGAGCGGCUCCAUCACCAUUGAUACUGGCCAAACCAGAAAUAAAAAAGGAUUGCUGUUACUAAAGUUAACUU